rnacentral:rRNA from 1 species
AGAGUUUGAUCCUGGCUCAGGAUGAACGCUAGCUACAGGCUUAACACAUGCAAGUCGAGGGGCAGCAUUCCAGUUUGCUUGCAAACUGGAGAUGGCGACCGGCGCACGGGUGAGUAACACGUAUCCAACCUGCCGAUAACUCGGGGAUAGCCUUUCGAAAGAAAGAUUAAUACCCGAUGGCAUAAUAGAACCGCAUGGUUUGAUUAUUAAAGAAUUUCGGUUAUCGAUGGGGAUGCGUUCCAUUAGGCAGUUGGUGGGGUAACGGCCCACCAAACCUUCGAUGGAUAGGGGUUCUGAGAGGAAGGUCCCCCACAUUGGAACUGAGACACGGUCCAAACUCCUACGGGAGGCAGCAGUGAGGAAUAUUGGUCAAUGGACGAGAGUCUGAACCAGCCAAGUAGCGUGAAGGAUGACUGCCCUAUGGGUUGUAAACUUCUUUUAUAUGGGAAUAAAGUGGUCCACGUGUGGAUUUUUGUAUGUACCAUAUGAAUAAGGAUCGGCUAACUCCGUGCCAGCAGCCGCGGUAAUACGGAGGAUCCGAGCGUUAUCCGGAUUUAUUGGGUUUAAAGGGAGCGUAGGUGGACAGUUAAGUCAGUUGUGAAAGUUUGCGGCUCAACCGUAAAAUUGCAGUUGAUACUGGCUGUCUUGAGUACAGUAGAGGUGGGCGGAAUUCGUGGUGUAGCGGUGAAAUGCUUAGAUAUCACGAAGAACUCCGAUUGCGAAGGCAGCUCACUGGACUGCAACUGACACUGAUGCUCGAAAGUGUGGGUAUCAAACCAGGAUUAGAUACCCUGGUAGUCCACACAGUAAACGAU